CUGCAGCCCCAUCUCAGCAAAUGACAGCCCCUCAGGUGGAAGCCAUGAGCAUCCCAAGCCUGGGUUCAGCUCCAGAAAGCAUCCAAGGUAACGACACGGUAAAUGUUACAGGAUGUUGACAGAUUUCCCUUCUGGGGGCUGCAAUGACCAUCUAGAAGGAGGAGGGGGCAUCUCUGUUGUCUGCUUCAUGAUGUGCCUUGUAUCACCACGCUGCAGUCGUGUCA
rnacentral:lncRNA from 1 species